ensembl:lncRNA
GUAAGUUGCAGACACUUUGUUCUGAUAGGUUUAAAUUGCUGCCCUUCAAAGAGCAGGGUAGGGUUUUUACAGCAGCGGUGGGUUAUGGGAGUCUGAGGCCACAGACACGCUCUGCAGUGGUCGUUUCUGAGGGUGUGGGUUUGGUGGGUCCGCCCGGGCCGCUUCUUCCGUCGGUCUGCGGCGAGUCAGUCUGAAACAGUUCGCGUCUAUCCGGCGGCAUUGAGUCUUGGUCCUUCGCCGGAGUGUCAGGCUCAGGGGUCCCAGCCAGUGAGGGUGACAGUUUGGAUUGGCCUCGGGAGCGCAGCCUGGCCCGUCCCUGAAUCCCAGUAUUGGGUUCUGGGUGUCCCAAAAUCCCGCGUGAUGGUGAAGGCGCUGGGGCUCGGGUAGGACUGGCUCGGAAUUUCAUCUUGGCCGAUCUCCUCGGUGGAGAUGCACACCCUCGCUGAACCUCGCGGGUAGAGGGCCGUGGCGUGGGAUUGUUCACAUUCGUGCAGUAGAGUUUUUAGCCGUUAAUGAAGGGUCUCUGCCUCCGUUAUUCGGAGUCUUUCCCUGCAUCAGGGUCUUUGCCAACAAGUCAGCUGUUCACAUCAGGUGGCCAAAGUAUUGGAGCUUCAGCUUCACCAUCAGUCCUUCCAGAUUGACUGGUUGGAUCUCCUUGCAGUCCAAGGGACUUUGAAGAGUCUUCUCCAGCACCACAGUUCGAAAGCAUCACUUUUUCGGCACUCAGCCUUCUUUAUGGUGCAGUCCUAUUUGUGACGGCAAAGGGAACAGCACCCGACCCCACGUAUACCCGUGGAGGAUACCGGGAACCACGGUGUUGUCUCCUUAGGAUGGAGUAUUAGUAGUGUUCAAAAGAACAAGCUGGUGGAUACUGACAGGAGAACAUGCC